GACGAACGCUGGCGGCGUGCUUAACACAUGCAAGUCGAACGGAAAGGCCCUGCUUUUGUGGGGUGCUCGAGUGGCGAACGGGUGAGUAACACGUGAGUAACCUGCCCUUGACUUUGGGAUAACUUCAGGAAACUGGGGCUAAUACCGGAUAGGAUCUCCUGCUGCAUGGUGGGGGUUGGAAAGUUUCGGCGGUUGGGGAUGGACUCGCGGCUUAUCAGCUUGUUGGUGGGGUAGUGGCUUACCAAGGCUUUGACGGGUAGCCGGCCUGAGAGGGUGACCGGCCACAUUGGGACUGAGGUACGGCCCAGACGCCUACGGGAGGCAGCAGUGGGAAAUAUUGCACAAUGGGCGGAAGCCUGAUGCAGCAGCGCCGCGUGCGGGAUGACGGCCUUCGGGUUGUAAACCGCUUUCGCCUGUGACGAAGCGUGAGUGACGGUAAUGGGUAAAGAAGCACCGGCUAACUACGUG
rnacentral:rRNA from 1 species